ACCAUCAACCUUACGUGUCUUAUCGGAAAUUCCCGAUGGAGUUGUUGUUUUUUUCAGGGGAUAGGCCUACUGUGUGAUAUUCGUGGUCUUAUUAUCUUACGAUUUACUAUAUUUAACUUGUAUUUUUACUAUUUUGUUGAGGGCAUUGCUGAGAUAGCUUUUGAGGCUGAUGGUGCUGUAGCUAGAACUGAGCUGGAAGUUGCCUUUAUUUGGAAGAGUGAUGAUGAGUGAUUGGAUCCAGGGCUAUGGCUUCUCCUGACUACCCGAUCUUGUUUAUCCUAGUUGCUCUUCAGGCCUACAAGAGUUCACCAGAAAUGUUGUCAACUCCAAGUUAUGAUUUUCCCUUUUUUUCAAGGCGUUCGCAGCUAACCAAUAUAGGAUAUUCGUCGAUGUUAUUAUAGAUACUGCGUGAGCUUUGAGUAUCUCUAAAUCUCCUGAAAUUUCAAAGUUGUAAACUCUGAACAGUAUUUAGUUCAACUUCACUCACAUCGUUACAUCUUUCUCUUCAGACAAACAUUUCUUAUUUUUUGUCAUCCAAAGUGUUGUAAGAACCACCUCUUUAUACAUAUUCAUUUUUUGUUGCGAGCUAUUCCAUAAUACUUUCGGACCAAAAAAAAAGGUUUGCGGGUCUUUUCCAGAUAGCUGUCUAUUUCUCUAGACAGUGACACAUCUUUGGACCCUGUGCUGCCCAGGUACGCGAAGCGGUCGACAACAUUUUGGAUGCAACUCCUAUUACCCAGAGGGAGGUUUGAGCUAGGAAAUGAUUAUCUUCUAUUCUGAAAAAAUGUCCAAACAAAUAUAAAAUAUACAAUUAAUAAAAAGUUAGGUUCCUACCUGGGACCAUGAUAUUAACUUACUCUUUCUUGUAUCCACCACUCCCAAAAUAUAGGCGAGAUGUGUGAAAUUACAAGAUAAAUCACAUUUCGUUAUGUUUUUUUUUUUAAUUUUCCUGUGAAGAAAGCAUUGCAUAUAUUUUU